UACAGAGGGGGCAAGCGUUGUUCGGAAUUACUGGGCGUAAAGGGCGCGUAGGCGGCCCGCUAAGUCGAACGUGAAAUCCCCGAGCUCAACUCGGGAACUGCGUCCGAUACUGGCGGGCUUGAAUCCGGGAGAGGGAUGCGGAAUUCCAGGUGUAGCGGUGAAAUGCGUAGAUAUCGGGAGGAACACCAGUGGCGAAGGCGGACUCACGUGCCUGUUCUUGACGCUGAGGCGCGAAAGCUAGGGGAGCAAACGGG
rnacentral:rRNA from 1 species